AGCACUUGUAUGUGUGUUUGAUCAGCUGAUUGACAAAGGCAUGUUGGACAGGUACAAAAAUAAAUUUGUUUUUGUAACCCAAGGCUCAUUGUUCAGUAUGAGUUUUUGAUACAUAUAAGAAGGAAUAUA